rfam:Bacillus sp. MRMR6 scaffold_13, whole genome shotgun sequence.
UGGUGAUGUCUUCUUACCAAUAUCAAUGAAGGCACUCGGUUAUGCUGUGGGUUGAAAUAAACCUUAGACGCAGGUCGUCGAAAGUAUGAUGUGAGGUGGGGUUGAAUGCCCU